rnacentral:lncRNA from 1 species
ACCAUGUGGUUGCUGGGAAUUGAACUCAAGACCUUCGGAAGAGCAACCUCUGAGCCAUCUCUCCAGCCCCCAUUUUAAUCGUUCUUUAAGAGAGAAUUAACUUUUUUUUUUUUUUUUUGGAUAUAGGGUCUCACUCCGUACCCCAUCCUGGCUAAGUAAUAACUCAAUUAAUCCUCCAGUUUCACUCUUUCUGGGAUGACAGACGAGCCACCAUACUUUUAAUCACUAUCAUAAUGAAAGUAAAUCAACUGACCUUAUUGUAAGGAGGGAUAGAUAAUUUGUUGAAACAGGGUCUCACUUUGUUUUUGUUUUUUUUUUUUUUUUUUUUUAAAAAAGAUUUAUUUUAUUUAUAUUAGUACACAGUAGCUGUCUUCAGACACACCAGAAGAGGGCAUCAGAUCCCAUUACGGAUGGUUGUGAGCCACCAUGUGGUUGCUGGGAACUGAACUCAGGACCUCUGGAAGAGCAGUCAGUGCUCUUAACCGCUGAGCCAUCUCUCCAAUCUGGGUCCCACUUUGUAACCCAGACUGUCUUUGGACGUGCCAUCAGCUCAGGCUGGGCUCAACCCCCUAAUCCACCUGGAUACUGGGCUUUGCCCUCCCAAAUACUAAUAUUGAAGGUAGAUACUGCUCUGCCUGGCUUGUAAAAAUUACUUGGCGUGUACUUGGUAUUUGGUGUUAAUGAUGGCUUGUAGUGGACCCUUAGGUAUAUUACGGACACCUGUAUUCCAGAUCCUUUCUGUUCAUAGUGGAGACAUGCCUUAGCCUGUUGAUUCCGUCCUAUUGUACUUCUCAGGGUCUGAUCAUCUAAACUUCCUAAACCAGCUAUAUUUUACACUCAUGUGUACAGCAUGUGUGUUACUCCGAAGACUCCCUGCUCAUAUAUUCAGUCUUGCUAUACAGAACAAGGUCCCCUUGAAUUUGAUAUUUUCCUGCAAGUAUGGCCCGAGAUUCAAAGGGAACUGAUUAAAACACAGAAAGUGUUAAAAACAAAACAAAACCCCAGACGGCCUGCCUUCUCUUACAUCAAGCCUGCUUGUCAGUCUUUGUAGUACUGCUAUUUGGGCUGGGUAAUUCCUUGUGGUAAGGAGCUGGUCUGUUCCUUACAGAAUAUCGAACAUCUCUUGCCUCUGCCCACUAAAUGCCAGUUACAGUUCCUCAGAAAUGUUUCCAGAUGUAGCCAAAACAGAAUCAGUGCCCACGAGGGCUACACACGUGGUUCAGUGGCAGCGCAUGCCUAGAAUGUACAGGGUACUCGCCUCGGUAUCUAGCACUGUGAAAAACAGGAGAAAAACUCAGCUAUGUGGAGAGUUGAACAGAAAGUGGUUCGUUUUGUUUUUUGUUUUUUUGAAAUAGGGUUUCUCUGUGUAGCCCUGGCUGUCCUGGAACUCACUUUGGAGACCAGGCUGGCCUCGAACUCAGAAAUCCACCUGCCUCUGCCUCCCCAGUGCUGGGAUUAAAGGCAUGCGCCACCACCGCCCAGCAAGAGCGGUUCGUUUUAUUUCAUUUAUUUUUGAGCCACAGCCCAGGUUGACCUCAGAUUCCCUGUGCAGUCGAGGAUGACCUGAAUGGUUCAUCUUUCUGCUUUUCCUUCCCAAGGGCUGGGCUUCUACGUAGGGACCACCACAUAGAGCUGGGGAAAGAAAUUGCUUUUUUUUCCCCCGUUUUCUUUUUUAAAAUGAUUUCUUUCUUUUAAAUUAUGUGUGUCUCUGUGUGGGGUUAUGCACAAUGCAGAGGCCAGAAGAGGGUGUGGGAUUCUCUGGAGCUGGAGGUACAGACCGUCGUGAGCUGUCAGACGUGGGUACUAGGAACUGAACUCAGUACUUUGUAAGAGCAGCACAUGCUCUUAACUGUGGAGCCUUCUUUCCAGCCCCGAGAACUUCCUCUCUGGAGUCUUGCGUAGCUGUAAGGGGAUUCCAGAUGUUAUACUUUGGAUCUUAUUCUUUUCGUCUUUAUGCUUCACCAUAGAAUUUAGAACAAUGCCUGUGUCAUUUCCCAUUGAGUACAAAAAGACAAAACUCUCCAAUCAGUGCAUAGUGUUUAAGAAUAAGAACUAGUUCUGGCCUCGGGCUGGAGAAUCAGCUAAGAGUUGUCACAAGGGGUGGUACAGGCCUGCCAUCCUGCCAUUCUGGAGGCAGGAGCAGGUGGGGCUCAGUGCAAGUUCAAGGACAGCCUGCGCUAAGUGGUGGUGGCCAGCCAAGGCUGUGUAGUGAGAGCCAGUCGCACACAAAGCAAAUC